GAUGAACGCUGGCGGCGUGCCUAAUACAUGCAAGUCGAGCGAACAGACGCGGAGCUUGCUCCUCGGACGUUAGCGGCGGACGGGUGAGUAACACGUGGAUAACCUACCUAUCAGACUGGGAUAACAUCGGGAAACCGGAGCUACUACCGGAUAAUAUAUUGAACCGCAUGGUUCAUUAGUGAAAGACGGUUUUGCUGUCGCUUAUAGAUGGAUCCGCGCCGCAUUAGCUAGUUGGUAAGGUAACGGCUUACCAAGGCAACGAUGCGUAGCCGACCUGAGAGGGUGAUCGGCCACACUGGAGGUGAGACACGGUCCAGACUCCUACGGGAGGCAGCAGUAGGGAAUCUUCCGCAAUGGGCGAAAGCCUGACGGAGCAACGCCGCGUGGGUGAGGAAGGUCUUCGGAUCGUAAAACUCUGUUAUUAGGGAAGAACAAAUGUGUAAGUAACUAUGCACGUCUUGACGGUACCUAGUCAGAAAGCCACGGCUAACUACGUG
rnacentral:rRNA from 1 species